GCCGGGGUGGCGGAAUUGGUAGACGCAGGCGACUCAAAAUCGCCCGGGAGCAAUCCCUUACGGGUUCGAGUCCCGUCCCCGGUA
rnacentral:tRNA from 1 species